ACACUGGUAGUCAGUGUUCCCCAGCUUUAUCAGAUUAAUCUGAAUGCUCCUCUGUGGCUGGCAGCUAGAUGGGUGUUGUAUGUGUUAUCAACCAUGUGUUAGUCUUGAUAGACUUUGCUUUAAAGUGGAUCAAAGCAUCUUUUUGUCCUCCUUUUAUAGUCUCUGCAGCAGAAUGUAAUUCGGAGCAUGCUUGGCAUCUUUUCUAUUACUGUGACACUGUACUAGUUGGCAGAUCUUGAAGAUCUAUUUAACAUAUUUGCAUGGUAAGUCUUUUUCUUGAAUAACAUGGGUGGAUAGAUGAAACUCUCCUGGCUCUAAAUCAUAUAAAUGGGAAUCAAACCAAACAAAUUGUCAUAACUUCAGUGAUUCCCUACUAGUUCGCUUUUUAGAUCCAGGGAACUAGACCUGAUUUAAGUUGAGCCCAAAUAGCCUACACAGGCCACAAAGGUUUGGCCCUUCAAAGGAUCUUACCCAUGAAUUGGGACACGACCAAAUAGCUAACAGAGGCCAUUGUUAGUCGUGUCAUGACCUGCUUUAUUAGAAAUAUGUUUCUUUCGGCUUGAAGAGUGGUCCUAUCCCUGUGUAAUUAACUAUAUAUUGUCUUUUCAAAAGCAGAAGAAGCUAAAUUAGAGUAAUUGAUCAGGGACUCUAAAUUGUGAUACGUUUACAGCUGGAGAACAGCAAUACAACAUAAUAACAGGAUUUAAGCUUCCAACCCCGAGUAUGACGUUACGGGAAAAUGGCCCCAUGUGAUUAUGGUAAAUUAAGCGUAAGUGCUGAGAGUGAAUCUGGCAGAGAGAUUUCAACAAUGUCGCCUUGGCAACAUGGGAAUGUUCCUUCAUGAGCCUUUUCUUUCCACUCUGGAACAAAGAGAUGCUUAUAAUUGUGAGUUUACUCCUAUAUUUUCAUUUCAUGUCCUUUGUGUCACAAAAACACACAGGUGUACUCUGUCUGUACACACACAACCACACAACCUCGUCUGUCUCUAGCUCCCAGCAUACUUCUCACUCCUGAAUGAGAUCAAAGUCCUGUCUCAUCUUUGUGAAUGCAACAUUACCCGCCUUUAUUUUUGCGUAUGUGUCCUGGAGCUUUUAAUCACAAAGUUGGAGAAAGGCGUAUAAAAAGAAUUUCACUGCUUCAGCUGGGAGCAUAGAGGUCACAGCUCCUCAUCUCCCCUGUAAAAAGCCUUGUCUUUGAAGUCUGGUAUCAGUGGCAUGAAGGAAACAAUGGAGUGGCUGUGUGAAAGUAGUGAAGAUAUUCAUUGAUCCUCGCUGAAUUCCCUUUUGACAGGGGUACAGCUGGCCUGGGGUCUUGAAUCUUUUAAAAAGCAGAGCUAAGAUGAAUGCUUUGAUGACAUGUGCUGGUUUUUGAUGUUUUUUUUUAACUCUGAACUCCUGGAAGGGAAGAGAAAAAAGAAUUCUAACAUUUUUAAGUCUGCAAUUUCCAACCUUUGGGGGUUGUAAGAUUGAUACACUGAGACACGAGGUUAUUACCAAAAAGAAGUCUUCACAAAGUUGUGUUGUAAUUUAUUUUUUGCUUUUAAUCUCAUUCUAAUACACUGUACAUUGUUACUGUAUGGCUUUUAAAAUACAACUGCUAGAGCUGUGUUACAGUCGCCCAGAAGGUCAACGAGACAAAUAUUUUAGGGAGGUGAGAUAUAUGUAUAUAUAUAUAUAAAUAUACUUUUUUUUUUCUUUAAAAUUCUAUAUAUAAAUUCUUUUAAUUUACAAAAUUUGUUUAAGACUUCAAAAUAUUAAUUCUUUGUGUUUCUGUGAAAAUUGAAUGUUUUCUUAAAUGUUUGUGUGUUUUAUGCAAUUAUUUUUAGUCACCUUUUUGAAAUAUGCGUGCUGUUGACCUUCAGGGUCACCAUACCAUGCUUUAAGCAAAAUGUUUACAUGUACAUGUCGAUUGGAAACAAAGAUUAAAAAAGGUUCACCCUAUUUUUUUCAAGAUGUGAAGUAUUUGAAGAGUUUGGUCAAUUUACUGAAAUUAUUACCUAAGAUUAUUUUUUUUAAAAAAGGAAAAUGGAAUAACUUAUGGAACCAUCAAAGCUCCAAAGGUUUAUUCUGAUGAACAAGUUAGUCUCUGUGCCAAAUUUUAUGGCAAUCUAUCCAGUAAUCAGAGAGUUUUACCAAGACCACAAAAAGUAACCUUAUGGUGGUGCUUAGAGAAAUUACAAGUAUAGGGGUUGUCCUCCACAUACCAUGAAUAUGUGCACAAAAUUAUCUUAAACAUUUGAGAUACUUGACAUUAUGCAAAAGUGGUGAACCAGGGCAUUUGUUGGUCUUGCAGAUUAGGGAUGUGCCCCAUAUACUGUAGCUUCAGUCCUAAUCACAGUCAUCGAUUUGACUCCACCCUGUACUGUAUGUCAACCCCCACUCUCUACUCCCCACUUUUCCCCUCUUCAGCUGCACUAAAAAGUCUAAAAUGCCCAUAAAACAGUUAAGAAAAAAAGGAUUGGACCGCUACUGGACCACACCAAUGCCUAAAUCUUCCAACUCAUAGUGUUUGUAUGGCAAAAUAAACAAUGAGUCAGACAGUGUGGGUAGAAAACAAAACAUCAGGCUGGGCAGCUCACAAGACAUAAACUCUGACUGUGCAUUUGGUCAGAGCUGACCAAGCUUGAAAAACCCUAAUGGUCUCUGAAGCUGACUUGUACAUGCACAGAACAACGAUUUAUGCACACAUCAACUCCUGUCUCAGUCAAUACUAUUGAGGUCAUGGUACUCUAUAUUUCACUCUGAUGAAGCUGUUAAUCCAACCUGCUUCUCUUCUGUGAAUCCAUAUGAGACCCAACCCUACUCAAGGAAAGUCUUUGCGAAGUCAAAAUACAGUAUGUACUCUGAAUAAACUGUUAUAAACUCUGCCCUAUUUGCUGCAGAUGUGUGUGAACCCUUCUGUCGGGGAGGUGGGAACAAUAAGCUAAUCAAAAGGAGCAACUGAUUGUAAGGCAUCUUAAAUGCUAAACUGUUAUGCAGUUGCUGCCCAACAACACAGGAUAAAGGUUGUUGAAAAUGCCUUUCACUAACCUUUGGAAGUAAUUAAUAAUUCUUAGUCCUUCAUUGUGUUUCUCAGACAUAUUCACAAAGACAGCUGGGGAGGGGUAUUCACCUUAAAGGUCAUGUUAUGAAACCCCAAGGACACUGCUUGAAACAUGACGGUCAAAACAUAGGCUGGGAGUUAUGUCAAUGAAAAAUACUUUCAAAGCUUUAAAUGUUAGAGGUAAACAAAAUGUAACUUUCCAACCACAUAUGCUGUAAUCACACAAUAGAACCAGAGUUCCUCUCAGUGUUUUGGUUGUGUUUUUACCAUGACCCGUCUACACCAGGGAAUCGUUGAGCCAAAUUUCAAUAUUGAACACUUGGCUGUUAACGGUUUUUCGUUUUUAUCAUUUUCCCCCUGUAGCUGAGUGUUUUUACAUCAGCAUGCACAUUACGUGACUUAGCGGUGAUCAUUUUGCACCCACAGAGAGAAAUUGGGUUAGUCGUUUCCAUGAAGUAAUUACACAGAAACCCUAAGGCGAACUCAAGUUAAUUCAUUUAGGCAAACUUCUAAGGAACACAAACUUUUGACUUUCCUCAAAGAACGAAAUCUUUUGUCACAGCCUCACUUUGAAUAUGAAACAACUGGGUUCAAAUUAGGAGGUACAAGUGUGUAGCAAUGCUAACUCUCACAGCCAUGUUUCAUUUAUGUCCUACCAAAAGGAUGAAUGUGUGUUUAUCCAUAAUGCUUAAUGAUUUUUAGGGUGAUAAUGUUUCAGUUUAAAUACAGUAUGAACUCAAGUAAUCAUAAUUUUAGCCUGUUGGUGUUUGCACUCCAACAUGUCAGCCUUUUCACAUUUUUUGUUUUUAACAGCUCUGACAAUCUACCCAUAUAUCUGUGGCUUGUCUUUGGGGUAAAGUAAGCCAAAAUUUGAAACAGUGGUCGCUUGGCAGUCACUCAAACCGUGUCCUUGUAUGACACAGGGCGAGGCACAUCAAACUGCCCCUUUGGCAGCUAUUACCAGAUAUAUGACACAUCAAGUCCCUUUCCCCCCAUUUUCCCCACAGACAGAAAACUCAGGCCCAUCAAUAAAUAAACGGGAAAGCAGGUGGUAUCUGGAGCACGGGUGUCCAUCUACUUUUCCAACAUCUCUCAACUGUUUUAGAUGGCGGACUAUUUUUGGAUGCUAAGUACUUACUAUUCCCUGUUUCAAACUGCCCACUUGUGCUAGAUAAGAGGAAUUCUCUGUGUUAGUGCGUCAUAGUGGUAAAAUAGCAGUGCCACUAGAAAUAAUAAAAGUUUAGAUCUGAACUGAAGGCUAGAAUUUUGUUGUAAAACUGUUGUUUUAAAUGUUUUGAAAACCAGCGGUAUAUAUUAUCAUGUUAGAGACUGUCAAGCAGUCCAUGAAAAAUCUUCUGUGUCUACUGUCUGAACUUCUGGAGCCUAAGGGCCCACCCGACCUUCUUAAUGAAAUUUGAAAACCAUAUAUAUUUCUAAAAUGUGGCUGUUAAUGGAAGAUGACAAGCAUCAUAGAGGUACAUUACUGCCAUCUACUGUGUCGGGGUGUGAAUAAACGGCCAUAUUGUAAGCACGUGCAAAAGAAACACACAGAUCAUGCUAAGAGCAGCAAAGACCUUUGACUGCAACUUUUUUCCAGGUAUGCAUCCACUGAAAAUGUCUCUCUGUGAUACAUUUUUGAGCCCAGACCCAUGGACUGAGAUUCACAGCUUUCUAUAACAUCAUUGACAUCAGCUCCUGAAUUAGGUUUUCUUUAGCAUAGCUCUUUAACACUAAAGGCUCAUAUUUCCAAAUUUUGGGAUGGUUAUCAGCAGUUUGGUUUGGAGUCUUUAACACUAAAGGCUCAUAUUUCCAAAUUUUGGGAUGGUUAUCAGCAGUUUGGUUUGGAGUUAAAACCGUCAGAGAUAUAAUAGGAAAAAAAAAAAUUCAAUUCAGUUCAGUUCAGUUAAAUUCAACUCAAGGAGGGUGGACAGAAAAGGAUCAGGGCUACUGGUUCAUUCUGUUCAAUUCCUUGAAAGAGAUCAAUCAUUCCUUCCACCAAAGAUGCCAAGCACAUAAACAAACUGUUACUCAUUCAUUAAUGUGUACAGUUGUGUAUGUUUCAGUGUAUAUUUACUCCAGUACAUCUGCUGGACUGCAGCUUGAGGUUUUCAGCCCUGUUAUUAUCAUGCCAAGGUCAGAGGAGUGGGCAGCACAGCAGAGGAAGACAGAAUGCCGGAGUGGUCCAACAAAUCAGAUUACUGCAUUUCCACUGACUGAUAACCACCACAGCAGAGAUGUAAAGACUUUUGUGCUCAAUAUAUCUUACACGUCUUGAUCUCUAAACAGGCUGAACAAUGAUUUUAGUUAUGAGGAAAAACUGUGCGUUGAUUCAAAGCUCCAAAAACACUUCAGUGGAGAAUAAUUCUUAACUAUUUCAGCACACGAAUGGGGGAAUA